rnacentral:tRNA from 1 species
AAAAUCCGUCGACUUUAGAAAUCGUGAGGGUUCCAGGCUCUAUCCCCA